rnacentral:rRNA from 1 species
UCAGUUCGGAUUGGAGGCUGAAACUCGCCUCCAUGAAGUUGGAUUCGCUAGUAAUCGCGCAUCAGCCAUGGCGCGGUGAAUACGUUCCCGGGCCUUGUACACACCGCCCGUCAAGCCAUGGGAGUUGGGGGGUGCCUGAAGUACGUGACCGCAAGGAGCGUCCUAGGGCAAAACCGAUGACUGGGGCUAAGUCGUAACAAGGUAGC